CGAUGGAGGGGGAUAACUACUGGAAACGGUAGCUAAUACCGCAUAACGUCGCAAGACCAAAGAGGGGGACCUUCGGGCCUCUUGCCAUCGGAUGUGCCCAGAUGGGAUUAGCUAGUAGGUGGGGUAAUGGCUCACCUAGGCGACGAUCCCUAGCUGGUCUGAGAGGAUGACCAGCCACACUGGAACUGAGACACGGUCCAG
rnacentral:rRNA from 1 species